AACCAGUAAAAAUUCAACCUAAAUCCAAUUUGACACGAACUUCACGAAUUGGGAGUUCGGCACCAAAUCAACCUAAAAUCUCGACCCAUUUUCCUCUCCCCCAUCACGAAAAUUCGUGAAGGGAAUUUGGCGACGAACUCCAAAUUCCUUGCCAAUUUGGCGACGUGUUCGGAGUUCGGAGUUCGUCGCCAAAUCAACCUAAAACCCUGAUCCACCUCACCACCUGUCUUUGGCGAAGACAACGCUUCCCCCUCCCUCUUUGGCGACGGCGACAACCCUCCCCCUCCUUCUUGCGACGGCGACGGUGACAACCUUUCCCCCUUCCCCUUUGGCGACGGCGACAUCUUGGUCCCACCAAAAGCCCACGUACCAACCCUAAUCGCGUCAGAGUCACUCCAUCGGUUGCUUCUACCCAACGGCGUCGCCAUCUUCUCUCCUUCUACUCCACUCUACUCCGGUCCCAAAUUAGCGAUCGCCGUCGCUCGCCAACGUCCCAGACGAGGCGUCGAUCCGAGGAAGUAUGGAAGGAGAGUGAAGUAUCUGCCGAGGAAGAAGAGAAUGAUCACCUUUUGUAUCUUUUCCUUGUGUUGAGACUUAUCGGAUAGUUUGGGAUAUUUGAUUACGGAAUAUUUUGUGAAUUUGCUUUAUGAGUCUUGUAGAACUUGGUUUGGAUCUUGUUGAAUUUUUUGUAUUGGUUAUGUUGUGAUGUGGUAUUGUGUUGUUGAACUUGGUUAAUUGAAUAUUUUGCAUUGUUA